GCACUCGUAGCUCAGUUAGGAUAGAGCGCUACCCUCCGGAGGUAGAGGUCGCAGGUUCGAGUCCUGCUGAGUGCGC
rnacentral:tRNA from 1 species